GAGGACCUACGGGACGCAGCAGUGAGGAAUAUUGGUCAAUGGUCGGGAGACUGAACCAGCCAAGCCGCGUGAGGGAUGAAGGUACAGAGUAUCGUAAACCUCUUUUGUCAGGGAACAAAGGCGGGGACGUGUCCCCGGAUGAGUGUACCUGAAGAAAAAGCAUCGGCUAACUCCGUGCCAGCAGCCGCGGUAAUACGGAGGAUGCAAGCGUUAUCCGGAUUUAUUGGGGUUAAAGGGUGCGCAGGCGGUCUGUUAAGUCAGCGGUCAAAGCCCGGGGCUCAACCCCGGCCC
rnacentral:rRNA from 1 species